rnacentral:misc_RNA from 1 species
AAGUCGUAACAAGGUUUCCGUAGGUGAACCUGCGGAAGGAUCAUUACCGAGUUCUCGGGCUUCGGCUCGACUCUCCCACCCUUUGUGAACGUACCUCUGUUGCUUUGGCGGCUCCGGCCGCCAAAGGACCUCCAAACUCCAGUCAGUAAACGCAGACGUGUCUGAUAAACAAGUUAAUAAACUAAAACUUUCAACAACGGAUCUCUUGGUUCUG